UUGCAUCCACUUUUAAACUAAACAUUAUUGUAACAAAUGUAGUCUUAUUAUAACAUAAUAAAACUUUCAACAACGGAUCUCUUGGCUCUCGCAUCGAUGAAGAACGCAGCGAAAUGCGAUAAGUAAUGUGAAUUGCAGAAUUCAGUGAAUCAUCGAAUCUUUGAACGCACCUUGCGCCCUUUGGUAUUCCGAAGGGCAUGCCUGUUUGAGUGUCAUGAAACCUCACCCCACUUAGGUUUUUGCCUAAGCGGUGGUGUAUUGGGUGUUUGCCUUGCUAAAGGCUCGCCUUAAAGAUAUAAGCACCUUGGAUGUAAUACGUUUCAUCCUUCUGGGUGGCUGAUAACCCCACAUAUUCAUGAUCUGGCCUCAAAUCAGGUAGGGCUACCCGCUGAACUUAAGCAUAUCAAUAAGCGGAGGAAUCUUUCUAGAAGAUCUCCUACAAUAUUCUCAGCUGCCAUGGAAAAUCGAUGUUCUUCUUUUAUUCUCUCAAGAUUUUCAGGCUGUAUAUUAAAACUUAUAUUAAGAACUAUGCUAACCACCUCAUCAGGAACCGUUGUAGGUGGCGUGGGUUUUCUUGGCAAUCGACUCUCAUGAAAACUACGAGCUAAAUAUUCAAUAUGUUCCUCUUGACCAACUUUAUUCUGCAUUUUUUUUGAACGAGGUUUAGAGCAAGCUUCAGGAAACUGAGACAGGAAUUUUAU
rnacentral:rRNA from 1 species